CACACACACACACACACACACACACACACACACACACACACACACACACACACACACACACACACACACACACACACACACACACACACACACACACACACACACGUGAGGUUAUGAAACCUGUUAAGACCAUGUCAUAUUCACCCCCCCCCCCAAAAAAAAAAAAUAGGCAAUAAGAAACUGUUUUUGUUUUUUUUGCAUUGUGACAUUUUCAUUUUACACGUUUAUCAUGCGAACAAAAUAAAUGCUCAUUUAAAUAAUUACAGCAUUUUUACUGUAAUACAAGAAAAUAUAGAUUGCAGUAAUGAAAUUCACCGUGCUGAGAAUGUGAAUGAUCAAAUAAAUAAAUAAACAGCCAAGACUCAUUCCUCUGGUAUUGAUAAUGUGGAGUUAAUUGUCAUGAAAAUAUCACAGUGCAAAAAAUAUCCUAAAAUUAAUUAAAUAUUUUUGUGAAAUAUAAUUUUACUGUUUUGUACUAAAAUGUGACCUGGAAAUGUUUCUUUAAAAUUCACCCACCAAAAAUGCAAAAACAAGCAUGUUAAUGAACUCCUGAAACGUGAGAACUGACUUUACAGUUUAUAGACUUUUCUAGUUUCUGGAAGAUUCUGUCCUCAAGUGUUCUUCCUCAAAAAGAUGACCGCUGGAUACCACCCAGAUUUCUCCACUCCGUCUGCCUCAUUCAUCCAAAUGAAUGUUCCCAGCCAUCAUAUGUUAUAACAUUCGACAUUAGAGAGUGGACAUGACCAUGAGAUGACAGUACAAGUGAUGACAUUCAGCACAAGCCCUUUGAAGAAGAUAUUUUUCAUAGCUGGUGGAAUAAGAGAUGUCUUUCUUCUACACCAUUCUAUUCAUUUCUCAUUUUAUCCUAAUUUCUUUUACCUUCGAGUGCUAUUUUAUCAGUUUCUUGUCACUUUAUUAUCUUUUGUUCAGUUGAUGAUGGUCUGUCUAUUAAACAGGUGCCAUUUGUGUCCUUCAUAUACAUGUGUUAAAAAAGGAAGCACUUUAAAAGUAAUGCCAACUGUUUGUGUUAAUAUACACCUUUUUAAUGCAACAAAUAUAAUGUAACUUAAAAAGUUUCUUAUGUUCUCAAAGGCUGCAUUUAAUAAGAAAUAUUACAAUUUUAAUUUAACUUUUUCAAAUUUAAUGCAUUUAAAAAUAAUUUAUUUCUGUGAUGGCAAAGUCAAAUUUUCAGCAUCAUUACUCCAGUGUCACAUGAUCCUUCAGAAAUCAUUCUAAUAUGCUGAUUUGGUGUUCAAAAAACAUUUCUUCUUAUUAUAUAUAUUUGAAACAGUUUUGCUCUCUCUCAUCAUCUCUAUCCCAGUCUUAUGACUUGCCAGCCCAGAAUGCCCUGUGUUGUCACACCAAUAUCUUUUCCAUUCGUUAAGUUGAUGUGACAAGAAGUUGGACUGAGAACCCAUCCCAUGAUGUCCUGCAAAGAACACCUCACUCUCUUCUUUCGGGCAAUUCCCAUCUUCACAGGUUGUCCAUUCCCAUCCAAGUAUUUUUCAUAGGUGGGAAAUACAAAAUAUAUGGCUUUUGAGAUUUGCUUAAAGGUGCUGUAAGCGUUUUCAGCUGUUUCAACCGUACACACCAUCCUGAACAUGCAGAAUGACUGACAGAUUAUCUUUUCUGAUUGGCUGGGUAGGCUAUCUGUAAUAUAGGGACGUUAUAUAAUAAAAAAAAAUUGCAUGCAGCACUUUUAAUGCAAACCGUUGUUUAAUACGACGGUGUUAUACGGAAGAUUUAAGGCCUAUGAAAAGUAGGCCUAUCUGAGUUUACACUGAAUUUACUGACUAAAACUAUACUGUAAAAUAUAGUUUCACAAAUUAAUGAUAUUAUCAGCUUAAAAGUAAAUAUGUAAUGUAGCCAUUUUAAUAAUUUUUGAAUUGUUAUUUUGUAAGUAAAGUAAUAGGUCCAAUCAAAUUUACCAACGUCUUCCCUAUUGCGUUAGAAGUUGUCCCGUGAUGAAGCUGUUAUUUUGGCCGAUAACAGCCCAACAGAUUUUAACUGUUUUAAAGCAGAGGGAAAAUGGCGAGCCACAGAUCACACCGUAGGCGUCAAAAAAUUGCGUCUCAAGGAGAAACAUCAACUUGUUUCCUCUUACUUAUGAGAAUUCACGGAUUUGAGGGGUCAUAAACACAAGACGUCCAGAGGAAGUGUUAAAAUAUGCUGUGGACACCAGUUCUGUGGAUGAAAGGUGAAAUUUAUGAAUAUGCAUGUAGAAAUUUCAAUUCUGCAAGCAGUUUUCAAUUUUACAGCACAAUUAUAACUCAGAACUCUUUGACGAAGACAUCUUAUAGGAAAAAUUAAUGGGGAAAAAAGAGAACCAAGGCUGCUGAAAAAUAGUCAGUGUGAUGAUAUACUAUAGAUUCUGCUUAUAUUGUGGUAUAUAUUUGACAGAUUUUUUACACAAGUGUCUGCAAUAGUUCCCCUUUUCAACAAUGCUUUAGUUCUGACACAACACACCAUGCUAUGUGCAUUAAACUAAUCUUAAUUUACUGUGUUUAUCCAAUUGAUUUGUUCGAUGUAUUUGAAUUGACAAAAUAAAAAAAAGUUGUCUCAACUUUUAAGAUUAUGUGCAACUCAAAAAUAAAUAAAUAAAUAAAUAAAUAAAAAAAUUAAAAAAACAUGCAAAAAAAAAAAAAAAACCUAAAUAUAUUGAGUUUAAAAUUUACAAGUGUAAAAAAAGAGAACCAAGGCUGCUGAAAAAUAGUCAGUGUGAUGAUAUACUAUAGAUUCUGCUUAUAUUGUGGUAUAUAUUUGACAGAUUUUUUACACAAGUGUUUGCAAUAGUUCCCCUUUUCAACAAUGCUUUAGUUCUGACACAACACACCAUGCUAUGUGCAUUAAACUAAUCUUAA